rnacentral:rRNA from 1 species
ACACGUAGGGGGCGAGCGUUGUCCGGAAUUACUGGGCGUAAAGCGCGCGCAGGCGGCCUGUUAAGUCAGGUGUCAAAAUGCGGAGCUCAACUCCGCAUCGCACUUGAAACUGGCCGGCUUGAGUGCAGGAGAGGAAAGUGGAAUUCCUAGUGUAGCGGUGAAAUGCGUAGAUAUUAGGAGGAACACCAGUGGCGAAGGCGACUUUCUGGACUGCAACUGACGCUGAGGCGCGAAAGCUAGGGGAGCGAACAGGAUUAGAUACCCUGGUAGUCCUAGCCGUAAACGAUGGGUACUAGGUGUUGGGGGUGACAAUCCUCCAGUGCCGCAGUUAACGCAUUAAGUACCCCGCCUGGGGAGUACGGCCGCAAGGCUGAA